UCUCAUUUCAAGCCACAGGAACCCAGGAAGUGACACACCGCUGAGGUUAAUGCUAGCUCAGCACCGACACCGCUUGACGACUGCCGCACUGCGAGGCUCUUCUUCUGCUUGUCACUGGACAUGUGGUCACUGAACCGUGUGCCCUCCGCAGGCUGAAGUCAGCCUCCUGGGAAAUGCGGAGUAAACCGACCCCCACACACACUGUUGUUAGACCACAAAGCAUGGCAAGGCUGUCAGUCAAAGUUAGUGCAGUCCACUCUUUGAAG